rnacentral:rRNA from 1 species
AUUGAACGCUGGCGGCAUGCCUUACACAUGCAAGUCGAACGGUAGAGGGGGCAACCCCUCGAGAGUGGCGAACGGGUGAGUAAUACAUCGGAACGUGCCCGAGAGUGGGGGAUAACGAGGCGAAAGCUUUGCUAAUACCGCAUACGAUCUCAGGACGAAAGCAGGGGACCGCAAGGCCUUGCGCUCACGGAGCGGCCGAUGGCAGAUUAGGUAGUUGGUGGGAUAAAAGCUUACCAAGCCGACGAUCUGUAGCUGGUCUGAGAGGACGACCAGCCACACUGGGACUGAGACACGGCCAGACUCCUACGGGAGGCAGCAGUGGGGAAUUUUGGACAAUGGGCGCAAGCCUGAUCCAGCCAUGCCGCGUGCAGGAUGAAGGCCUUCGGGUUGUAAACUGCUUUUGUACGGAACGAAAAGACUCUGGUUAAUACCUGGGGUCCAUGACGGUACCGUAAGAAUAAGCACCGGCUAACUACGUGCCAGCAGCCGCCGUAACAC